rnacentral:rRNA from 1 species
AUUGAACGCUGGCGGCAUGCCUUACACAUGCAAGCCGAACGGCAGCACGGGAGCAAUCCUGGUGGCGAGUGGCGAACGGGUGAGUAAUAUAUCGGAACGUGCCCAGUCGUGGGGAUAACGUAGCGAAAGCUACGCUAAUACCGCAUACGAUCUAUGGAUGAAAGCGGGGGAUCGCAAGACCUCGCGCGAUUGGAGCGGCCGAUAUCAGAUUAGGUAGUUGGUGAGGUAAAGGCUCACCAAGCCGACGAUCUGUAGCUGGUCUGAGAGGACGACCAGCCACACUGGGACUGAGACACGGCCCAGACUCCUACGGGAGGCAGCAGUGGGGAAUUUUGGACAAUGGGCGCAAGCCUGAUCCAGCAAUGCCGCGUGCAGGA